CCUCUCCAUUGGUCUAAAAACACCAGGGGUUGUCCAGGAACAUGUUCUGCUCCCUCCCUCUCCAUUGGUCUAAAAACACCAGGAACAUGUUCUGCUCCCUCCCUCUCCAUUGGUCUAAAACACCAGGAACAUGUUCUGCUCCCUCCCUCUCCAUUGGUCUAAAACACCAGGAACAUGUUCUGCUCCCUCCCUCUCCAUUGGUCUAAAACACCAGGAACAUGUUCUGCUCCCUCCCUCUCCAUUGGUCUAAAACACCAGGAACAUGUUCUGCUCCCUCCCUCUCCAUUGGUCUAAAACACCAGGAACAUGUUCUGCUCCCUCUCCAUUGGUCUAAAACACCAGGGGUUGUCCAGGAACAUGUUCUGCUCCCUCCCUCUCCAUUGGUCUAAAAACACCAGGGGUUGUCCAGGAACAUGUUCUGCUCCCUCCCUCUCCAUUGGUCUAAAACACCAGGGGUUGUCCAGGAACAUGUUCUGCUCCUCCCUCUCCAUUGGUCUAAAACACCAGGGGUUGUCCAGGAACAGGUUGUGAAACAGACAGAUAUGAAAGGCUUUGCUCCUCUUCAGAUCGUCAGAAAACAACAGUGGCCAGUCCAUAUGGGACGACUUGAAGCUACACUGAACAAACAAUAUAAACAAAACAGAGAAAAGUGUUGUUCCCAUGAUUCAUGAGCUGGAAUGAAAAGAGACUAGAAAUGUUCCAUACACACAUUUUCUGGCAUAAAUUUGUUUCCAUCCCUGUUAGUGAACAUUUCUCCUGUGCCAAGAGAAUCCGUUCCCCUGACAGGUGUGGCAUAACAAGAAGCUGAUUAAACAGAAUGAUAAUUACACAGGUGCACCUUGUGCUGGGGGACAAUAAAAAAAAAAAGGCAAUUUUGUCACACAACACAAUGUCACAUAUGUCUCAAGUUUUGAGGGAGUGUACACUAGUCAUGCUGACUGCAGGAAUGUCCACCAGAGCUGAUAUCAGAGAAUUGAAAUUUGAUUUCUCUAACAUAACCCACAUCCAUCGUUGUUUUUACAGAAUUUGGCAGUAUGUCCAACCAACCUCAAAACCCGCCGACCACGUGUGUAUGGCGUCGUGUGGGCGAGCGGUUUCCUGACGUCAACGUUGAGUGCCCCGCGGUGGGGUUAUGGUAUGGGGCAGGUUUGAGUGCCCCGCGGUGGGGUUAUGGUAUGGGGCAGGUUUGAGUGCCCCGCGGUGGCGUUAUGGUAUGGGGCAGGUUUGAGUGCCCCGCGGUGGGGUUAUGGUAUGGGGCAGGUUUGAGUGCCCCGCGGUGGGGUUAUGGUAUGGGGCAGGUUUGAGUGCCCCGCGGUGGGGUUAUGGUAUGGGGCAGGUUUGAGUGCCCCGCGGUGGGGUUAUGGUAUGGGGCAGGUUUGAGUGCCCCGCGGUGGCGGUGGGGUUAUGGUAUGGGGCAGGUUUGAGUGCCCCGCGGUGGGGUUAUGGUAUGGGGCAGGUUUGAGUGCCCCGCGGUGGGGUUAUGGUAUGGGGCAGGUUUGAGUGCCCCGCGGUGGCGGUGGGGUUAUGGUAUGGGGCAGGUUUGAGUGCCCCGCGGUGGCGUUAUGGUAUGGGGCAGGUUUGAGUGCCCCGCGGUGGCGGUGGGGUUAUGGUAUGGGGCAGGUUUGAGUGCCCCGCGGUGGCGGUGGGGUUAUGGUAUGGGGCAGGUAUCCGCUACGGACACAACGGACACAAUUUUGCAUUUUAAAUCAUCGAGGGCAAUUUGUAAUGUCCAGAGACACCGUGACGAG